rnacentral:rRNA from 1 species
GAUUAACGCUGGCGGCGUGCCUAACACAUGCAAGUCGAACGAGGUAGCAAUACCUAGUGGCAGACGGGUGAGUAACACGUGGUCAACCUUCCCUAGCGUGGGGGAUAACUAGCCGAAAGGUUAGCUAAUACCGCAUGAUAUCUACGAGUGGCAUCACAUGUAGAUCAAAGGAGCAAUCCGCGCAAGGAUGGGACCGCGCCCGAUUAGUUAGUUGGUGGGGUAAUGGCCUACCAAGACUCCGAUCGGUAGCUGGUUUGAGAGAGCGACCAGCCACACU